AGAAUCAACGCUGGCGGCGUGCCUAACACAUGCAAGUCGAACGAGAAAGUGGAGCAAUCCAUGAGUAAAGUGGCGCACGGGUGAGUAACACGUGACUAACCUACCUUUUAGUGGGGGAUAACCUAGGGAAACCUGGGCUAAUACCGCAUAAUACCUACGGGUCAAAGCAGCAAUGCGCUGAAAGAGGGGGUCGCGGCCGAUUAGCUAGUUGGCGGAGUAAUGGCCCACCAAGGCAGUGAUCGGUA
rnacentral:rRNA from 1 species